GUUGAACGCUGGCGGCAUGCUUUACACAUGCAAGUCGAACGGCAGCGCGGGCGUUUGCCUGGCUGCGCGUGGCGAACGGGUGAGUAAUGCAUCGGAGCGUGCCCAGCUGUGGUGGAUAGCCCGGCUAAAGCACUAUUAAUACCGCAGACGACCUGAGGGGUAAAGCGGGGGUCCGAGAGAGCUCGCGCGAUUGGGGCGGGCGAUGGCGGAUUAGCUAGUUGGGUGGGGUAAGGCUUACCAAGGGGGCGAGCCGUAGCUGGUCGGAUCGGCGGACAGGCCACCCGGGAACUGGGACACGCCCCAGACUCCUAAGGGAGGCAGCAGUGGGGAAUUUUGGACAAUGGGGGAAAACCUGACCCAGCCAUGCCGCGUGUGGGACGAAGGCCUUCGGUUUGUAAACCGCUUUUGUUCGGGAAGAAAUCCUCUGGGCUAAUACCCCGGGGGGAUGACGGUACCGGAAGAAUAAGCACCGGCUAACUACGUG
rnacentral:rRNA from 1 species